rnacentral:tRNA from 3 species
GGUGGGAUCGCAUAGUGGCCGAGUGCGCUUGCUUGGAAAGCAGGUAGACCUUCACGGGUCUCGAGAGUUCGAAUCUCUCUCCCACCG